AUUGAACGCUGGCGGCAGGCCUAACACAUGCAAGUCGAACGGAGUGGCGGACGGGUGAGUAAUGUCUGGGAAACUGCCUGCUGGAGGGGGAUAACUACUGGAAAUGGGCGCUAAUACCGCAUCCUAUCAUAUGAGCCUAGGUCGGAUUAGCUAGUUGGUGGGGUAAAGGCCUACCAAGGCGACGAUCUGUAACUGGUCUUAGAGGAUGAUCAGGCACCCUGGAACUGCGCCACGUUCCAGACUCCGACGGGAGGCAGCAGUGGGGAAUAUUGGACAAUGGGCGAAAGCCUGAUACAGCCAUGCCGCGUGUGUGAAGAAGGUCUUCGGAUUGUAAAGCACUUUAAGUUGGGAGGCGUUACCAACAGAAUAAGCACCGGCUAACUUCGUGCCAGCAGCCGCGGUAAUUC
rnacentral:rRNA from 1 species